AAGACUAUAGACCUGCGGAGUACCUGCGGAAGGAUCAUCAACGUAUCUAUGAUGGGGUGCGGAGCGCCCUGCUCCGGUCGAACGGCCGUGCAGCGGGUGCGCCGCCCCCGUCCCACCUCACAAACCCACUGUGAACAUUCACCGGUGGAGGGGGCUCGGUCUGCGCCGUGUCCCCGAUGCCGAAUACCCAAACUCCAGUUGCAAAGAACGUCGUGCGGACUCGGUGCCGCCUAAAACAUG
rnacentral:misc_RNA from 1 species